UGGACGCUUAUUCAUUACAGCCAUUUCGAAGGUAGUGCCACAGGCAGUCCGGGUAGUCUCGGCAGCCUCAGUGCCAGUCGCCAUAGGAGUUACCGUGGCAACGGUUGGUGUAUUGGUAGUGAAGAACUUGCCCAGACGCGAUGAGUUCCCAGAAGGACGGUCCCAAGCAGGACGGUCCCAAGCAGAACGGUCCCAAGCAGGACGGUCCCAAGCACGGUCCAAGCAGGACGGUCCCAAG